UACGAAGGGUGCUAGCGUUGUUCGGAAUCACUGGGCGUAAAGCGCGCGUAGGCGGCGAUAAAAGUCAGGGGUGAAAUCCCACAGCUCAACUGUGGAAUUGCCUUUGAAACUAGAUUGCUAGAGUGUCGGAGGGGAUAGCGGAAUUGCUAAUGUAGAGGUGAAAUUCGUAGAUAUUAGCAGGAACACCGGUGGCGAAGGCGGCUAUCUGGACGACAACUGACGCUGAGGCGCGAAAGUGUGGGGAUAAAACAGG
rnacentral:rRNA from 1 species